rnacentral:rRNA from 1 species
ACGAACGCUGGCGGCGUGCUUAACACCUGCAAGUCGAACGCGCCUGUCCUCUGGGUUUCUGGGGGGUGGGUGAGUGGCGAACGGGUGAGUAACACGUGAGUAACCUGCCCCCUUCUUCGGGAUAACGGUCUGAAAGGGCUGCUAAUACCGGGUAUUCACUGGUCUCCGCAUGGGGUCUGGUGGAAAGGUUUUUUUCUGGUGGGGGAUGGGCUCGCGGCCUAUCAGCUUGUUGGUGGGGUGAUGGCCCACCAAGGCUUUGACGGGUAGCCGGCCUGAGAGGGUGACCGGUCACAUUGGGACUGAGAUGCGGCCCAGACUCCGACGGGAGGCAGCAGUGGGGAAUAUUGCCCAAUGGGCGCAAGCCUGAUGCAGCGACGCCGCGUGAGGGAUGGAGGCCUUCGGGUUGUGAACCUCUUUCGCCCGUGGUCAAGCCGCGACGUGGGUCGUGGUGAGGGUAGUGGGUAAAGAAGCGCCGGCUAACUACGUG